rnacentral:rRNA from 1 species
UUGGAGGGCAAGUCUGGUGCCAGCAGCCGCGGUAAUUCCAGCUCCAAUAGCGUAUAUUAAAGUUGUUGCAGUUAAAAAGCUCGUAGUUGAAUUUCGGGACCAAUUUGUUGGUCGUGCCUCGGUACGUACUGGUAUUAUUGGUUUCUACCUUCUGAAGAACCUUGAUGUCAUUAAUUUGGUGUCUUGGGGAAUCAGGACUGUUACUUUGAAAAAAUUAGAGUGUUUAAAGCAAGCAUACGCUUGAAUACAUUAGCAUGGAAUAAUGAAAUAGGACGUUUGAUUCUAUUUUGUUGGUUUCUAGGAUCGACGUAAUGAUUAAUAGGGAUAGUUGGGGGCAUUAGUAUUCAAUUGUCAGAGGUGAAAUUCUUGGAUUUAUUGAAGACUAACUACUGCGAAAGCAUUUGCCAAGGAUGUUUUCAUUAAUCAAGAACGAAAGUUAGGGGAUCGAAGACGAUCAGAUACCGUCGUAGUCUUAACCAUAAACUAUGCCGAAUAGGGAUCGGAUGAUGUUAAUUUUUUAAUGACUCAUUCGGCGCCUUACGGGAAAC